GGAUGUGUCCUAUUUUCAAUUCUUAAGGGGCCGGGUACUAUCGAAAUUCUCAUACAUACGUAAUACCAAAAUCAUUUUCUCAUAC